CGCUCCGAUACACCUGCAGGGAAAAAGAGGGGAACAAAGGAAGGGUGAUUAGAUGUGCAGCUACGGCGUCAGGAAACAACAGCCUGCAUGAGUCAUAAAGAAAAUGGACCCCUUGGCGUACCAGCUGGUGAAGUACCUCAUCUACUUGACAGCUUGUGAUGUGACAGCUGUGGAGACAGUCCACUCCUCUGCUAGUGACAAGUUACCUGCAUAAAAAAACUACUCGGCAGGUCUGGCUCUGAAGGGACACCAGCGCAAAAGCUUGAGACUUCACGUACCUGAAUAUACAGUGGAGAUUCAAUUCUGGUAUAACAGUAAAGCAAACUGUUCACGUGCUACUGAUUAGAACAUAAGUUUUAUGCGUGUAUAAAUAUUAUUUAACAUGUGUAUAUGUAUACAUACAUCUACAUUGUUCAUAGGCAUAGCCUCCUGGAAGCACCCUCUCACUGCAGGGUUUUGUUCACACUGAUAGUGAACGCGGCGGUCCUGGCCAUGGGACUUAACUGGGUGAGUUGCAAUAGAAACACCAUUUACCCACGUGCUUGCAAGUAACUGCACAGUAACUGUAAAGCAGCAUCUGUGCUAUGCACCACCUAGAUUGAAGAAUUAAAGCCACAGUCUGAGCAGCAUAAGCAUGUUACACACCAAG